rnacentral:rRNA from 1 species
GACGAACGCUGGCGGCGUGCUUAACACAUGCAAGUCGAACGGAAAGGCCCUGCUUUUGUGGGGUGCUCGAGUGGCGAACGGGUGAGUAACACGUGAGUAACCUGCCCUUGACUUUGGGAUAACUUCAGGAAACUGGGGCUAAUACCGGAUAGGAGCUCCUGCUGCAUGGCGGGGGUUGGAAAGUUUCGGCGGUUGGGGAUGGACUCGCGGCUUAUCAGCUUGUUGGUGGGGUAGUGGCUUACCAAGGCUUUGACGGGUAGCCGGCCUGAGAGGGUGACCGGCCACAUUGGGACUGAGAUACGGCCCAGACUCCUACGAGAGGCAGCAGUGGGGAAUAUUGCACAAUGAGCGGAAGCCUGAUGAAGCAACGCCGCGUGCGGGAUAACGGCCUUCGGGUUGUAAACCGCUUUCGCCUGUGACGAAGCGUGAGUGACGGUAAUGGGUAAAGAAGCACCGGCUAACUACGUG